GAAGAGAAAUCUUUAAGUCUAGGUUCGGGGGGGANUAUGGUCGCAAGGCUGAAACUUAAAGGAAUUGACGGAAGGGCACCACCAUGGUGUGGAGCCUGCGGCUUAAUUUGACUCAACACGGGGAAACUCACCAGGUCCAGACACGACAAGGAUUGACAGAUUGAUAGCUCUUUCUUGAUUUNGUGGUUGGUGGUGCAUGGCCGUUCUUAGUUGGUGGAGUGAUUUGUCUGGUUAAUUCCGAUAACGAACGAGACCUUAACCUGCUAAAUAGCCCGGCCGGCUUUGGYUGGUCGCUGGCUCUUAGAG
rnacentral:rRNA from 1 species